rnacentral:rRNA from 1 species
UGCAAGCGUUAUCCGGAUUCAUUGGGUUUAAAGGGAGCGUAGGCGGACUUGUAAGUCAGUGGUGAAAUCUGUGGGCUUAACCCACAAACUGCCAUUGAUACUGCAGGUCUAGAGUACAGUUGCCGUUGGCGGAAUAUGACAUGUAGUGGUGAAAUACUUAGAUAUGUCAUAGAACACCGAUUGCGAAGGCAGCUAACGAAGCUGUAACUGACGCUGAGGCUCGAAAGUGCGGGGAUCAAACAGG